rnacentral:rRNA from 1 species
GAGUUUGAUCCUGGCUCAGAACGUACGCUGGCGGCACGCCUAAUACAUGCAAGUCGAACGAAGUAGCAAUACUUAGUGGCAGACGGGUGAGUAACAUGUAGGUAUCUGCCCUUUGGCCUGGAAUAACACGAGGAAACUUGUGCUAAUACUGGAUAAGUCUCUACGGAGAAAGCUUAAUUGGCACCAAUGGGAUGAGCCUGCACUUGAUUAGUUGGUAGGUGGGGUAAUGGCCUACCAAGACUGUGAUCAAUAGCUGAUUUGAGAGGAUGAUCAGCCACAUUGGGACUGAGACACGGCCCAAACUCCUACGGGAGGCAGCAGUAGGGAAUCUUGCACAAUGGAGGAAACUCUGAUGCAGCGAUGCCGCGUGAGUGAAGAAGGCCUUUGGGUUGUAAAGCUCUUUCGUCGGGGAAGAAAAUGACUGUACCCGAAUAAGAAGGUCCGGCUAACUUCGUGCCAGCAGCCGCGGUAAUACGAAGGGACCUAGCGUAGUUCGGAAUUACUGGGCUUAAAGAGUUCGUAGGUGGUUGAAAAAGUUGGUGGUG